GUGUUUCACUGCCUAAUGAAGGAAGAAGUAGUGAAGCAGUGCCGAGUACACUUUUGCUGGGGAAGAUUUCAUCUGAGUAAUUAUCCUGACUGGAGUGGGUCAGGUGCAACUGCUGGAUCUACACCAAGGCAUUUAAACCACAAAUCACCAUCCCAGGCUUUGUGGAGUCUAAAUUCCAAUGGAACAAGUUCAACUUUCAGUGGCUCAGAUUUCCUUCCCAGGACUUCUCCGGAUAUAAAUUUUAGGAUUGCUGAAGUUCAUUACAACCCCAGUGCUGUAUCUCCAGAAGAUGGUGAGACCAAACAUUCUUGUUCACGAAGAAUGCCACCCAUGGAUACAGGGCUGCACUAUCCACAGAAAGCAAGAUUUUUUCAUUGAUACUGAAU